CCUACGGGAGGCAGCAGUGGGGAAUAUUGCACAAUGGGGGAAACCCUGAUGCAGCGACGCCGCGUGAGUGAAGAAGUAUUUCGGUAUGUAAAGCUCCAUCAGCAGGGGAGAAAAUGACGGUACGUGAUUAAGAAGCACCGGCUAACUACGUGCCAGCAGCCGCGGUAAUACGUAGGGGGCAAGCGUUAUCCGGAUUUACUGGGCGUAAAGGGAGCGUAGAGGGUGGUGCAAGUCAGCAGGGAAAGCCCGGGGCUUAACUCCGGGACUGCUUUUGAAACUGUGUAACUGGAGUGCAGGAGAGGUAAGCGGAAUGCCUGGUGUAGCGGUGAAAUGCGUAGAUAUCAGGAGGAACACCGGUGGCGAAGGCGGCUUACUGGACUGUAACUGACGUUGAGGCUCGAAAGCGUGGGGAGCAAACAGGAUUAGAUACCCUUGUAGUC
rnacentral:rRNA from 1 species